GCAAUCUUGCUAUCUAUCCCCGGGCAGUCAGCGCGCACUUCAGCAGACUCCGUGCACGGAGAUCCGGGAUGACCUCGCUGUCCUAGUCUUCAAAGUGGGCACCUUCAUCCCUCUAGUCUUGUCCCAAGAUCAGCCCUGGACAGGCGAUAAACAGCAGUUCUUUCUUUAUAUUUUUUAUUUUUUUUUGAGACAGAGUUUCGCUCUUGUUGCUCAGGCUGGAGUUUAAUGGCGCGAUCUCGGCUCACUGCAACCUCCGCCUCCUGGGUUCAAGCGAUUCUUCUGCCUCAGCCUCCCAAGUGGCUGGGAUUACGGGCGCCCACCACCACGUCUGGCUAAUUUUUUGUAUUUUUAGUAGAGACUGGGUUUUACCAUGUUGUCCAGGCUGGUCGUCACCUCCUGACCUCAGGUGAUCCACCCGCCUCGGCCUCCCAAAGUACUGGGAUUACAGGCGUGAGCCACCGCGCCCGGCCAGUUCUUUAUUUUUUAUAGUGUUGAGACAGGGUCUUGCUCUGUCGCCCAGGCUGGAGUGCAGUGAUGCGAUCAUAGCUCGCUACAGCCUUGACCUCCUGGGUUCAGGCGAUCCUCCCAUCUCAGCCUCCCGAGUAGCUGGGAUUACUGGCGUGUGCCACCAUGCCCAGCUAAUUUUUAAAUUCUUUUUAGAGACAGGGUCUCUCUGUGUGUUGCCCAGGCCGGUCUCAAACUCCUGGGCUCAAGCGAUCCUCCCGCCUUGGCCUCCCAAAUGUUAGGAUUGCAGGCGUGAGCCACCUCGCCUCCCCUUGCACUCACAUUUUAAAAUGGGGAAACAGCAUCGCUCGAGCCAGGGACGUCGAGGCUGCAGUGAGCGUGAUGGCACCACUGCACUCCUGCCUGGUCGAAAAAGCGAGACCCCCAUCUCUAAAAGUUAAAUAAAAAUGGGGAAAUAGUAAAUCAACAAGUGCAAAAACAAUCUUUUGUCCUAUUCAGAGCAAUGAAGGAAACAAUGAAAUGUCGAAGUGAUGGGUCAGGGAAGCCACUCUGAGGAGGUGACUUCGGAGCUGUCUCCAGAUGAUCAAGGAGUGAGCUGGUGGAAAGCCCGAGGAGCAGGGGGCUCUACCGGAUAGCUGGUGGUGAUGUCCUGGAGUGGGGCAGGACGGGCUUAUUUUGGUCAAAGAGCAGCGAGGUGGCCAGGGCACCACUGGAGCAGAGUGGAGGCGGGGUGUGGAGGUCAGAAAGCGAAUAUGGUGCGCGG
rnacentral:lncRNA from 10 species